UGAAUACGAGACGCUACGGCGUCGAAGCAGUCUAUGUCAUACUUCCAAGAAAAGCUCGCAAUGUCAUAAACAAAUAAUGCCUGUACCAUAACCGACACAGGUGGGUAGGUAGAGUAUACUAAGGGGCGCGAGAUAACUCUCUCUAAGGAACUCGGCAAAAUGACUCCGUAACUUCGGGAGAAGGAGUGCCUUAUUUAUAAGGCUGCAAUAACAAGAUCCAAGCAACUGUUUAUCAAAAACACAGGUCUCCGCUAAGUCGUAAGACGAUGUAUGGGGGCUGACGCCUGCCCAGUGCCAGAAGGUUAAAGAAGUUGGUUAGCAUUCGCGAAGCUGAUAACUGAAGCCCUGGUGAACGGCGGCCGUAACUAUAACGGUCCUAAGGUAGCGAAAUUCCUUGUCGGGUAAGUUCCGACCCGCACGAAAGGCGUAAUGAUUUGGAUACUGUCUCGGAGAGGGGCUCGGUGAAAUAGACUUGUCUGUGAAGAUGCGGACUACCUGCACCUGGACAGAAAGACCCUAUGAAGCUUUACUGUAACUUGAAAUUGAAAUUGGACUUUAUUUGCGCAGCAUAGGUGGGAGGCGUUGAGAGUAUUCUUGCGGGAAUAUUGGAGCCAUCAGUGAGAUACCACUCUUGUAAUGUUAGAUUUCUAACUUUGGAUCAUUAUCUGGUCAAAGAACAGUUUCAGGCGGGCAGUUUGACUGGGGCGGUCGCCUCCCAAACGGUAACGGAGGCGUACAAAGGUUUCCUCUGAACGGGUAGAAAUCGUAUCUAGAGUGUAAAGGCAUAAGGAAGCUUGACUGUGAGACCUACAAGUCGAGCAGGGACGAAGGUCGGUCUUAGUGAUCUGACGGUGCUGAGUGGAAAGGCCGUCACUCAACGGAUAAAAGUUACUCUAAGGAUAACAGGCUGAUCUCCCCCAAGAGUUCACAUCGACGGGGAGGUUUGGCACCUCGAUGUCGGCUCAUCGCAUCCUGGGGCGGUAGUACGUCCCAAGGGUUGGGCUGUUCGCCCAUGAAAGCGGUACGCGAGCUGGGUUCAGAACGUCGUGAGACAGUUCGGUCCAUAUCCGGUGUAGGCGUUAGAAUAUUGAGAGGAGCCUUCUUUAGUACGAGAGGACCGAGAAGGACAUACCUCUGGUGUACCAGUUAUCGUGCCAACGGUAAACGCUGGGUAGCUAUGUAUGGAGAGGAUAACCGCUGAAAGCAUCUAAGUGGGAAGCCCACCUCAAGAUAAG
rnacentral:rRNA from 1 species